AGCGCGCNUACCAUGCAGUCGCACGGGCAUCUCUGUCAUUUGGCGGACGAGGGUGAGUAACGCACUAUGAACNAUGUCCNGUAGGAUGGUGUCGACAACCCCCGGGAAACUGGUGCGUAAUACCNCAAAUGGGCUCAUGCCCAAAAACCAAUAGGCGCCUUUGGAGCGGCCUGCGUCCGAUUAGGUAGUUGGUGGAGUAAAGGCCUACCAAGCCUGCCAUCGGUAACUGGUCUGAGAAGGACAUACCUCACCACACAUGUGGACUGUGAACACGGCCCACAACUCCUACACGGAGAGCACACACAUGUGGGAAUAUUGUGACAAUGUGGCGCAAAGCCUGUAUCCACACACAUGCCCCGCUGUGAUGUAAAUAAAAGUCUUCUAGAUCUUGAUAGCCCUUUCUCACGCGGGACACAUAUAUGUACACGUACCCGUAGAAAAAAAAACCCCGCGCUAUCUUCUCUGCCACACACACCGCGCGUAUAUACACAAAAGGGGGCUAUACGCUUGUCUCUCGAAUUACUGUGGCGCUAUAAGGGCGACGCUAUAGCGCGCGACCCCAUAAUCUCAGCGGUGUAAAUUCCUGGGGCUCUCACCUGUCGGACUGUCGCCUUGAUACUGUGGUUGCUCUGUAGAGAUNUGAAGAAGAGCGUCGUUGUGAAUUCUCCAGAUGUAUAAGAGUGUAAAUAUCUCUAUAAUAUNUGUCGAAAAAACACACCGUGUGCGCAAAAGCGCGCACAGCUUUGUCCAUNUACUGUACACCUCUAAGCGCUCACAGCCUGUGGGAGACACAACACAGAUUAUAAUACCCUGUGUAUAUCCCCACCCCCUAUACACAUAUGACGCUGUAAUGUUUCGGGCCCAUAUGGGUCUCAGUGUCGUAGCCUACGCAUUAAGCGCACCGCCUGGGGAGUACGGCCGCAAGGUUGAAACUCAAAGGAAUUGACGGGGGCCCCCACAAGCNGUGGAGCAUGUGGUUUANUUCGAAGCACCCGCAAAACCUUACCACCCCUUGACAUGGUCACAACCCCUCAAAAAUUGACUUUCCUAUCAUAACCNGUGANUCACAGUUGCNGCANGGCGAUNGUCANANNGUGUCUUCAGAUNUUNGGUUAAGUCCCGNAACGAGNGCAACCCUUGCNUCUAGUUGCGAGCANNUUCCGGUGGGCACUNUAGAGNAACUCACGGGGACAAUCNNGAGGAAGGUGGGGAUGAAAUCAAGUCGUCAUGGNCGAUNUCGUCUNGUCUNCACACNNGUUACAANGNNGGUGACAGAGGGAAUNCANGUCGCGAGGCNGAGCCGAUNNCGAAAAACGNUGUCACUUUUGAGUNCAUUCUGCAAANUCGGGUGCNNGAAAGGUGGANUCUCGUAUUAAUACGCGGAUCACACACGCGCGCGGUGAGAUAUAGUUUUCCGGGGCCUUGUAUCACCACACGCGCCGUGCACCACCCACGGGAGAUUGGUUUUUAUCCUUAGAGUGCGCUGUGCUAAGCCACUCNAUGGGGGCCGGCANCUCGCGAUGUAC
rnacentral:rRNA from 1 species